rnacentral:rRNA from 1 species
AACGAACGCUGGCGGCAUGCCUAACACAUGCAGGUCGAACGAGACCUUCGGGUCUAGUGGCGCACGGGUGCGUAACGCGUGGGAACCUGCCCUUAGGUUCGGAAUAACUCCCCGAAAGGGGUGCUAAUACCGGAUAAUGUCUUCGGACCAAAGAUUUAUCGCCUUUGGAUGGGCCCGCGUUGGAUUAGCUAGUUGGUAGGGUAAAAGCCUACCAAGGCGACGAUCCAUAGCUGGUCUGAGAGGAUGAUCAGCCACACUGGGACUGAGACACGGCCCAGACUCCUACGGGAGGCAGCAGUGGGGAAUAGUGGACAAUGGGCGAAAGCCUGAUCCAGCAAUGCCGCGUGAGUGAUGAAGGCCUUAGGGUUGUAAAGCUCUUUUACCCGGGAUGAUAAUGACAGUACCGGGAGAAUAAGCUCCGGCUAACUCCGUG